rnacentral:lncRNA from 1 species
CGGUGGUGUUCAGUACGCCACAAGCGACACAAAUGAACACGCCUUCUCAGCCCCGCCAGACUUCUACCCUAGCCGGGCCCAGCCCCCGAGCAGUGCAGCCUCCCGAGUGCAGAGUGCAGCCCCUGCCCGCCCUGGCCCAGCUGCCCAUGUCUACCCUGCUGGAUCCCAAGUAAUGAUGAUCCCUUCCCAGAUCUCCUACCCAGCCUCCCAGGGGGCCUACUACAUCCCUGGACAGGGCGUUCCACAUACGUUGUCCCGACACAGCAGUACCCUGUGCAGCCAGGAGCCCCAGGCUUCUAUCCAGGUGCAAGCCCUACAGAAUUUGGGACCUACGUGGCGCCUACUAUCCAGCCCAAGGGGUGCAGCAGUUUCCCACUGGCGUGGCCCCCACCCCAGUUUUGAUGAACCAGCCACCCCAGAUUGCUCCCAAGAGGGAGCGUAAGACGUCCGAAUUCGAGAUCCAAACCAAGGAGGAAAGGAUAUCACAGAGGAGAUCAUGUCUGGGGCCCGCACUGCCUCCACACCCA